GUGGGAUGUGAUUUAUAACAGGUGGGAUGUGAUUUAUUACAGGUGGGAUGUGAUUUAUAACAGGUGGGAUGUGAUUUAUUACAGGUGGGAUGUGAUUUAUAACAGGUGGGAUGUGAUUUAUUGCAGGUGGGAUGUGAUUUAUUACAUGUGGGCUGUGAUUUAUUACAUGUGGGAUGUGAUUUAUUACAGCUGUUCAGAGUUCAGCUAGGCUCUGCAUAGCCAACCCCCACACCCCUCUUACAUAAUUUGUGUAUGAUGUACUUCCUGGUACUUAAUGUACGCAGUAAUUGUAUGUUUGUAUGUCCUGGCACUUAAGAAUAGUACUUAGCCUUGUGUAGCAUCUUCUCCUUGCUAUCUCUGUUGUAUACGGGGAAUGGUUUAACCUAGUUAUUGUUAGUUCUUGGCACUAUGCACAUCCUUACUGUACCGACAGCGAUAUAUUGUUUGUUAUUGACUUUCUUCUGAGAAAUGCAUGUGUUGCAUUUAUUAAUCGCUUUAGAUAAAAGCGUCUGUAUAAACGUCACAAAAGCUGGGAUGUGAUUAACUACAGUUACGUUUUGAAAGACUACAUCUGGGAUGUGAGAUACACGAUAGUGUGUGUGUGUGUGUGUGUGUGUG
ensembl:lncRNA